AUUGAACGCUGGCGGAAUGCUUUACACAUGCAAGUCGAGCGGCAGCGCGGCCUUCGGGCUGGCGGCGAGCGGCGAACGGGUGAGUAAUGCAUCGGAACAUGCCCAGUCGUGGGGGAUAACACUUCGAAAGAAGUGCUAAUACCGCAUACGUCCUGAGGGGGAAAGCGGGGGAUCGCAAGACCUCGCGCGAUUGGAGUGGCCGAUGUCAGAUUAGCUAGUUGGUGGGGUAAAGGCCUACCAAGGCGACGAUCUGUAGCUGGUCUGAGAGGAUGAUCAGCCACACUGGGACUGAGACACGGCCCAGACGACUAAGGGAGGCAGCAGUCGGGAAUUUUGGACAAUGGGGGCAACCCUGAUCCAGCCAUUCCGCGUGAGUGAAGAAGGCCUUCGGGUUGUAAAGCUCUUUCGGCAGGAACGAAACGGUGGGCUCUAACAUAGUCCGCUAAUGACGGUACCUGAAGAAGAAGCACCGGCUAACUACGUG
rnacentral:rRNA from 1 species